UUAAGCGACUAAGCGUACACGGUGGAUGCCCUGGCAGUCAGAGGCGAUGAAGGACGUGCUAAUCUGCGAUAAGCGUCGGUAAGGUGAUAUGAACCGUUAUAACCGGCGAUUUCCGAAUGGGGAAACCCAGUGUGAUUCGUCACACUAUCAUUAACUGAAUCCAUAGGUUAAUGAGGCGAACCGGGGGAACUGAAACAUCUAAGUACCCCGAGGAAAAGAAAUCAACCGAGAUUCCCCCAGUAGCGGCGAGCGAACGGGGAGCAGCCCAGAGCCUGAAUCAGUGUGUGUGUUAGUGGAAGCGUCUGGAAAGGCGCGCGAUACAGGGUGACAGCCCCGUACACAAAAAUNCACAUAUUGUGAGCUCGAUGAGUAGGGCGGGACACGUGGUAUCCUGUCUGAAUAUGGGGGGACCAUCCUCCAAGGCUAAAUACUCCUGACUGACCGAUAGUGAACCAGUACCGUGAGGGAAAGGCGAAAAGAACCCCGGCGAGGGGAGUGAAAAAGAACCUGAAACCGUGUACGUACAAGCAGUGGGAGCACGCUUAGGCGUGUGACUGCGUACCUUUUGUAUAAUGGGUCAGCGACUUAUAUUCUGUAGCAAGGUUAACCGAAUAGGGGAGCCGAAGGGAAACCGAGUCUUAACUGGGCGUUAAGUUGCAGGGUAUAGACCCGAAACCCGGUGAUCUAGCCAUGGGCAGGUUGAAGGUUGGGUAACACUAACUGGAGGACCGAACCGACUAAUGUUGAAAAAUUAGCGGAUGACUUGUGGCUGGGGGUGAAAGGCCAAUCAAACCGGGAGAUAGCUGGUUCUCCCCGAAAGCUAUUUAGGUAGCGCCUCGUGAAUUCAUCUCCGGGGGUAGAGCACUGUUUCGGCAAGGGGGUCAUCCCGACUUACCAACCCGAUGCAAACUGCGAAUACCGGAGAAUGUUAUCACGGGAGACACACGGCGGGUGCUAACGUCCGUCGUGAAGAGGGAAACAACCCAGACCGCCAGCUAAGGUCCCAAAGUCAUGGUUAAGUGGGAAACGAUGUGGGAAGGCCCAGACAGCCAGGAUGUUGGCUUAGAAGCAGCCAUCAUUUAAAGAAAGCGUAAUAGCUCACUGGUCGAGUCGGCCUGCGCGGAAGAUGUAACGGGGCUAAACCAUGCACCGAAGCUGCGGCAGCGACGCUUAUGCGUUGUUGGGUAGGGGAGCGUUCUGUAAGCCUGCGAAGGUGUGCUGUGAGGCAUGCUGGAGGUAUCAGAAGUGCGAAUGCUGACAUAAGUAACGAUAAAGCGGGUGAAAAGCCCGCUCGCCGGAAGACCAAGGGUUCCUGUCCAACGUUAAUCGGGGCAGGGUGAGUCGACCCCUAAGGCGAGGCCGAAAGGCGUAGUCGAUGGGAAACAGGUUAAUAUUCCUGUACUUGGUGUUACUGCGAAGGGGGGACGGAGAAGGCUAUGUUGGCCGGGCGACGGUUGUCCCGGUUUAAGCGUGUAGGCUGGUUUUCCAGGCAAAUCCGGAAAAUCAAGGCUGAGGCGUGAUGACGAGGCACUACGGUGCUGAAGCAACAAAUGCCCUGCUUCCAGGAAAAGCCUCUAAGCAUCAGGUAACAUCAAAUCGUACCCCAAACCGACACAGGUGGUCAGGUAGAGAAUACCAAGGCGCUUGAGAGAACUCGGGUGAAGGAACUAGGCAAAAUGGUGCCGUAACUUCGGGAGAAGGCACGCUGAUAUGUAGGUGAAGUCCCUUGCGGAUGGAGCUGAAAUCAGUCGAAGAUACCAGCUGGCUGCAACUGUUUAUUAAAAACACAGCACUGUGCAAACACGAAAGUGGACGUAUACGGUGUGACGCCUGCCCGGUGCCGGAAGGUUAAUUGAUGGGGUCAGCGCAAGCGAAGCUCUUGAUCGAAGCCCCGGUAAACGGCGGCCGUAACUAUAACGGUCCUAAGGUAGCGAAAUUCCUUGUCGGGUAAGUUCCGACCUGCACGAAUGGCGUAAUGAUGGCCAGGCUGUCUCCACCCGAGACUCAGUGAAAUUGAACUCGCUGUGAAGAUGCAGUGUACCCGCGGCAAGACGGAAAGACCCCGUGAACCUUUACUAUAGCUUGACACUGAACAUUGAGCCUUGAUGUGUAGGAUAGGUGGGAGGCUUUGAAGUGUGGACGCCAGUCUGCAUGGAGCCGGCCUUGAAAUACCACCCUUUAAUGUUUGAUGUUCUAACGUGGACCCGUGAUCCGGGUUGCGGACAGUGUCUGGUGGGUAGUUUGACUGGGGCGGUCUCCUCCUAAAGAGUAACGGAGGAGCACGAAGGUUGGCUAAUCCUGGUCGGACAUCAGGAGGUUAGUGCAAUGGCAUAAGCCAGCUUGACUGCGAGCGUGACGGCGCGAGCAGGUGCGAAAGCAGGUCAUAGUGAUCCGGUGGUUCUGAAUGGAAGGGCCAUCGCUCAACGGAUAAAAGGUACUCCGGGGAUAACAGGCUGAUACCGCCCAAGAGUUCAUAUCGACGGCGGUGUUUGGCACCUCGAUGUCGGCUCAUCACAUCCUGGGGCUGAAGUAGGUCCCAAGGGUAUGGCUGUUCGCCAUUUAAAGUGGUACGCGAGCUGGGUUUAGAACGUCGUGAGACAGUUCGGUCCCUAUCUGCCGUGGGCGCUGGAGAACUGAGGGGGGCUGCUCCUAGUACGAGAGGACCGGAGUGGACGCAUCACUGGUGUUCGGGUUGUCAUGCCAAUGGCACUGCCCGGUAGCUAAAUGCGGAAGAGAUAAGUGCUGAAAGCAUCUAAGCACGAAACUUGCCCCGAGAUGAGUUCUCCCUGACCCUUUAAGGGUCCUGAAGGAACGUUGAAGACGACGACGUUGAUAGGCCGGGUGUGUAAGCGCAGCGAUGCGUUGAGCUAACCGGUACUAAUGAACCGUGAGGCUUAACCUU
rnacentral:rRNA from 1 species